GAAUUCGAUUACCGCUCAGUAACACGUAGUCAACAUGCCCAGGGGACGUGGAUAACCUCGGGAAACUGAGGAUAAACCGCGAUAGGUCAUCACUUCUGGAAUGGGUAAUGACUUAAAUCUAUAUGGCCCCUGGAUUGGACUGCGGCCGAUCAGGCUGUUGGUGAGGUAAUGGCCCACCAAACCUGUAACCGGUACGGGCUCUGAGAGGAGGAGCCCGGAGAUGGGCACUGAGACAAGGGCCCAGGCCCUAUGGGGCGCAGCAGGCGCGAAACCUCUGCAAUAGGCGAAAGCUUGACAGGGUUACUCUGAGUGAUUUCCGUUAAGGAGAUCUUUUGGCACCUCUAAAAAUGGUGCAGAAUAAGGGGUGGGCAAGUCUGGUGUCAGCCGCCGCGGUAAUACCAGCACCCCGAGUGGUCGGGACGUUUAUUGGGCCUAAAGCAUCCGUAGCCGGUUCUACAAGUCUUCCGUUAAAUCCACCUGCUUAACAGAUGGGCUGCGGAAGAUACUAUAGAGCUGGGAGGCGGGAGAGGCAAGCGGUACUCGAUGGGUAGGGGUAAAAUCCGUUGAUCCAUUGAAGACCACCAGUGGCGAAGGCGGCUUGCCAGAACGCGCUCGACGGUGAGGGAUGAAAGCUGGGGGAGCAAACCGGAUUAGAUACCCGGGUAGUCCCAGCUGUAAACGAUGCAGACUCGGUGAUGAGUUGGCUUAUUGCUAACUCAGUGCCGCAGGGAAGCCGUUAAGUUUGCCGCCUGGGGAGUACGGUCGCAAGACUGAAACUUAAAGGAAUUGGC
rnacentral:rRNA from 1 species